rnacentral:rRNA from 1 species
UGUAACCCCCGAAGCCGGUGGAGCAACCACUUUGUAGAGCUAGCCGUCGAAGGUGGGACAAAUGAUUGGGGUGAAGUCGUAACAAGGUAUCCGUAUCGGAAGGUGCGGCUGGAUCACCUCCUUU